rnacentral:rRNA from 1 species
GAUGAACGCUGGCGGCGUGCCUAAUACAUGCAAGUCGAGCGAACAGAUGAUGAGCUUGCUCCUCUGACGGUAGCGGCGGACGGGUGAGUAACACGUGGAUAACCUACCUAUAAGACUGGGAUAACUUCGGGAAACCGGAGCUAAUACCGGAUAAUAUAUUGAACCGCAUGGUUCAAUAGUGAAAGACGGUUUUGCUGUCACUUAUAGAUGGUUCCGCGCCGCAUUAGCUAGUUGGUAAGGUAACGGCUUACCAAGGCAACGAUGCGUAGCCGACCUGAGAGGGUGAUCGGCCACACUGGAACUGAGACACGGUCCAGACUCCUACGGGAGGCAGCAGUAGGGAAUCUUCCGCAAUGGGCGAAAGCCUGACGGAGCAACGCCGCGUGAGUGAUGAAGGUCUUCGGAUCGUAAAACUCUGUUAUUAGGGAAGAACAAAUGUGUAAGUAACUAUGCACGUCUUGACGGUACCUAAUCAGAAAGCAACGGCUAACUACGUG